ACCAGCAGCCACAUCACCCUGCAACUCAACUGGCAGCCCACUGAAGCCAAGUAGGGUUGAGCUUGGCCAGUACCUGGAUGGGAGAGCUCCUGGGGAGGAACUAAGGUUGCUGCUGGAA
rnacentral:rRNA from 1 species